AAAUAGCCCUGAUGGAAGCGGUAUCCCGCACUUUUUCUGUGCGGAAUUUAGCGGACAGCAGGACAAAAG
rnacentral:sRNA from 1 species